AAAAAAACCAACAUAGCAAAAUUAAAUGCUUUUUCACGUGAGCCACUCCAAAAACCAACACAAUAGAUUCACAUGCUUUUCCUUUGACCCUCACUUGCUUUGCACAUCAAAUGAAUGUGGAAAUUAUUUAGAAUCAGCUGAUCGUCGACCAAAAUUCCUUCACUCUUUUUUCGCAUGCAGUUCACGCGAAGGUCAAAUUAAUUUCACUUUGAUUUGCCCCAAUCGACUUGUCCUUCGAUUCUGAAGUGAAAGUCACGUUAGAAUCACAUGUUUUGAUUAUGAAAGUUGCGUGUCGAAAAAGGACGAUGAGUCAACAAAAUAAGAUGGCGAAUUUCAGAAGCUCGCUGUUUGAACUCUUCCUUUUAAAAUAAGUUUAUUGUAAUAAUAUUGAAAAUUUAUAAAACAUUUGUGAAAAAAAACUUAUUGUACAAUAACGAUAAUCAAGAUCAAGCUCUGAAAAAAGCUUUCUGGGAGCUGGUCAGUUUUCGUCGAUGCUGAAGUUCCUACCCGUGAUGUUCUCUGACAAUCCGUAACUGUCUGUUCCCAGCGGAUUCGGCCGGGAGGUGUGAUUAUUUCUGGGAAGAUGAA